AACUUUUGACAACGGAUCACUUGGCUUUCGCAUCGAUGAAGGACGCCGCGAACGCGCGAAACGUAAUGUGAAUUGCAGAAUUCAGUGAAUCAUCGAAUCUUUGAACGCAUCUUGCGCUCCUUGGCAUUCCGAGGAGCAUGCCUGUUUGAGUGUCGCGAACGUGCCUCGGGCCCACCCCUUUUCUUUCGCGAGAGCGGGGGAGGGCUCGGAUAGUGGACGCUUUGCCGCGCCGAGCGGCUCGUCUUGAAAUGAAUUAGAGUCGAGUCCCUUUGGCGAUUAGGGUCGGAGGGUAACGGUGUGAUAAGGUCUCGCCGCGACGCCCUUCCGACUUGAACCCAAAGGCUCGCUUCGAGUCCCAAAGUCGGACUGUCCCGCUGGGGGCAUGUACCAUUAACGUUUGACCUCAAAUCAGGUAGGACUACCCGCUGAACUUAAGCAUAUCAAUAAGCGGAGGCU
rnacentral:misc_RNA from 1 species